rnacentral:rRNA from 1 species
UACGGGGGGGGCAAGCGUUGUUCGGAAUUACUGGGCGUAAAGGGCUCGUAGGUGGCCAACUAAGUCAGACGUGAAAUCCCUCGGCUUAACCGGGGAACUGCGUCUGAUACUGGAUGGCUUGAGUUUGGGAGAGGAAUGCGGAAUUCCAGGUGUAGCGGUGAAAUGCGCAGAUAUCAGGAGGAACACCGGUGGCGAAGGCGGUGGUCUGGGCCGGAACUGACGCUGAGGAGCGAAGGCGUGGGGAGCGAACAGG